rnacentral:misc_RNA from 1 species
GACCGAGGCACAGCGGGAGCUGAGCCCGAUCGAGACCAAGCUCUCGGAGCUGGUCAAUCGGAAGAUGGCAAUCGAGGAUCGCCUGUCGCGCACGGACAUCCGUGCUCCGAUCUCCGGGAGGGUCAACGAGCUGAAGAUCCAUACGGUGGGCGGUGUCAUCACUCCCGCGGAGGUCCUGGCCACCAUCGUUCCGGGCAAUGCCCGACUGAAGAUCGAGGUGAAGAUUCCUCCCGUCAACAUCGAUCAGAUCGCCGUCGGUCGGCCUGCGCGGCUGCGGUUCUCGACGUUCAACCAGCGAACGACCCCGGAGCUGAUGGGCGAGCUGGUCUAUGUAUCGCCGGCGACUUCGCGGGAUGCCAGCAACGGGCAGACCUACUAUGUCGGCCA